GACAAUGAGAUGGAUAUUUCCAAAGGAGUCUCUUUGUCCUCUGUGUAAAUAACUAAUUGUUUUGUUAUUAAAUACUGAAGUACUAAACAUGCCCUGUAAAUGAAAUCUGCAUGUGAAACCAAACCCCACAUUUUACCCACUUUACAUUUCAUAGAGAGGUAGUUGCAUCGAAAUAGUGCCCUGGUUCACCUCUGGGCAAAGGUGAAGUCAUUCCUUUACGUCAAUAGGUGAAUAAUCUGAUUCUAAGUGAUUAAUUAUUGCAGUGUUCACUAAUGAUUUUACUUGAUUUUAUCUAUUUCUCCACUGGAAGAGAGACAGGGAAGACAACUAUUCACACAGCCAGGCAGCUGUCUCAUCUACAAAGGUGCCAGCACUGAAUCUGGGUGGGAUAUAAACGCUGCUCCUUGCUGCCUCUCAAAUGAGACCAGUUCAAAACUGAGCUUUGUACUGAAGUUCCACCAUUAUGCAAGGCUAUAUCGCUGCAAUUUUCUAAAAUCUUACUUCUGAAAGUAAGUAAGCACUUCAGCAGCUGAGGUCUCUAGUUCUGGCAGUGCAGGAGCAUCUCAUUGCUAUGCCCCAGCAGUGGGGCAGCAGCCUGUCAUUUUUUUGAUGUUAAGGUCUGUCUUCCACCUGGAGGUUCUGGGAUAACAUAACCCAAAUCAUGAAAGACAAGGCCAAGAGGAGUGAUUGACAACAAUUCCAUGAGGAAUAUCCAGUCUCAUUGUAGGACUCCAGCUGGGAAUAGGAAGAGGUACAAGACUGGUGAUACAAAUAGUCUUUGUCAGUGAAUAACAAUAACCAAAACUGCCAGAUUUUCAUGGUAUCUAUAAUUCUGUCAUAGACCCCUGCCUUAGUGGCAGGCAUUUCUACAAUGGCAGGCAUCUAGGGAGCAAACUGACCUGUGAUAUCAUUGUGUGUCCACACCAAGGUGGUUGAUUGGACCUGCUGAAAAUAAAUCAGAAGCAUUAGCACA
rnacentral:lncRNA from 1 species